AGCCUUUAGCUAAACAAGUAUUAAAGGUCCCGCCUGCCCAGUGAAACUUUUAAACGGCCGCGGUAUUCUAACCGUGCAAAGGUAGCGUAAUCACUUGUCUUCUAAAUAAAGACCUGUAUGAACGGCUAAAUGAGGACAAACCUGUCUCUUAUAACCAAUCAGUGAAACUGAUCUACCAGUACAAAAGCUGGUAUAAACACAUAAGACGAGAAGACCCUGUGGAGCUUAAGACAAAACGCCAAUGUAAAACUAAACAUGACGCAAAGUCUUCAGUUGGGGCGACUUCGGAAAAAAAUAAAACUUCCGAGCAAAGAUCUACAAUAUCUUAUCAAGGCUAACAAGCCCGAUAUAAAACUGACCCGGCCACGCCGAUUAACGAACCAAGUUACCCCAGGGAUAACAGCGCCAUCUUCUUUUAGAGUCCCUAUCGACAAGAAGGUUUACGACCUCGAUGUUGGAUCAGGACACCCAGGUGGUGCAGCCGCUACCAAAGGUUCGUUUGUUCAACGAUUAACAGUCCU
rnacentral:rRNA from 1 species